UUUGCGACGUUUAUUAAAUGUUGCGAAAUUUUUUUUUUUCGCAACGUUUGAUAAACGUUGCGAAAAGUUAAUCUUUUGCAACGUUUUUUAAACGUUGCGAAAAGUUAAUCUUUCGCAACAUUUAAAAAACGUUGCGAAAAGGAAACCGAGUUAAACUGACU
rnacentral:sRNA from 1 species